rnacentral:misc_RNA from 1 species
CGUUUAGUCAUUUGUGAUCAACAUGGUUCCCAGGCCCGUUUUCUUCUAGCUAAGUUGAAUCCUUCUGCUACAUGCAACACCGAUGCUCCUCUUCCCGGUGGAGAUAUCUUGUUUACAGAUGAUGUAAGCUUUGAGGUCUUCUUAGAUCAUCUCCAGAGACUAGCAGUAAUUAAUCCAAUAUCACAAGAAAGACUAAAAUAAAUUGUAUACUUACUGUACAAAAUGUCAAAAUUAAGUUUACAAAAUUGCCAUUAAUGAUGCAUGUUUUUAUUGAACUGCUAGUCUCUGGAGAUGAUCUAAGAAGACCUCAAAGCUUAC